GGAGCUCUCCCAUAUGGUCGACCUGCAGGCGGCCGCGAAUUCACUAGUGAUUGUUUGAUCCUGGCUCAGAUUGAACGCUGGCGGCAGGCUUAACACAUGCAAGUCGAACGGUAACAGAGAAUAGCUUGCUAUUUUGCUGACGAGUGGCGGACGGGUGAGUAAUGCUUGGGAAUUUGCCGAAAGGUGGGGGACAACAGUUGGAAACGACUGCUAAUACCGCAUAAUGUCUACGGACCAAAGGUGGCCUCUAUUUAUAUGCUAUCGCCUUUCGAUGAGCCCAAGUGGGAUUAGCUAGUUGGUAAGGUAAUGGCUUACCAAGGCGACGAUCCCUAGCUGGUCUUAGAGGAUGACCAGCCACACUGGAACUGAGACACGGUCCAGACUCCUACGGGAGGCAGCAGUGGGGAAUAUUGCACAAUGGGGGAAACCCUGAUGCAGCCAUGCCGCGUGUGUGAAGAAGGCUUUCGGGUUGUAAAGCACUUUCAGCGAGGAGGAAAGGGUGAUGGCUAAUAUCCAUUAUCUGUGACGUUACUCGCAGAAGAAGCACCGGCUAACUCCGUGCCAGCAGCCGCGGUAAUACGGAGGGUGCAAGCGUUAAUCGGAAUUACUGGGCGUAAAGCGCGCGUAGGUGGUUAAUUAAGUCAGAUGUGAAAGCCCAGGGCUCAACCUUGGAACUGCAUUUGAAACUGGUUGACUAGAGUUUUGUAGAGGGUGGUAGAAUUUCAGGUGUAGCGGUGAAAUGCGUAGAGAUCUGAAGGAAUACCAGUGGCGAAGGCGGCCACCUGGACAAAGACUGACACUGAGGCGCGAAGGCGUGGGGAGCAAACGGGAUUAGAUACCCCGGUAGUCCACGCAGUAAACGAUGUCUAUUAGAAGUUUGUGGCUAUAUGCCGUGGGUUUCAAAGCUAAC
rnacentral:rRNA from 1 species